rnacentral:rRNA from 1 species
UCGAUUGAGUUUGAUCAUGGCUCAGGAUGAACGCUGGCGGCGUGCCUAAUGCAUGCAAGUCGAACGCAGGGUGCCUGCACCGCUGCGUGGCGCACGGCUGAGGAACACGUGGGCAAUCUGCCUUAAAGUGGGGGAUAGCUCGGCGAAAGCCGAAUUAAUACCGCAUGUGAUCAGCUAAGACAUCUUAGCAACAUCAAAGCCGGGGUAACCUGGCGCUUUUUGUGGAGCCCGCGGCCUAUCAGCUAGUUGGUGAGGUAACGGCUCACCAAGGCUAUGACGGGUAGCUGGUCUGAGAGGACGACCAGUCACACUGGAACUGAGACACGGUCCAGACACCUACGGGUGGCAGCAGUCGAGAAUUUUUCUCAAUGGGGGCAACCCUGAAGGAGCGACGCCGCGUGGAGGAUGAAGGCUUUCGGGUUGUAAACUCCUGUCAUUUGAGAGCAAGUGCUAGCAAGUAACUACUGCUAGCUUGAUAGUAUCAGAAGAGGAAGAGACGGCUAACUCUGUGCCAGCAGCCGCGGUAAUACAGAGGUCUCAAGCGUUGUUCGGAUUCAUUGGGCGUAAAGGGUGCGUAGGUGGCGCGCUAAGUCAGGUGUGAAAUCUCGGGGCUUAACUCCGAAACUGCAUUUGAUACUGGCGUGCUUGAGGACUGGAGAGGAGACUGGAAUUCAUGGUGUAGCAGUGAAAUGCGUAGAG